UACGUAGGGGGCAAGCGUUGUCCGGAAUUAUUGGGCGUAAAGAGCGUGUAGGCGGUCCGGUAAGUCAGCUGUGAAAGUCAAGGGCUCAACCCUUGAAUGCCGGUUGAUACUGUCGGGCUAGAGUCCGGAAGAGGCGAGUGGAAUUCCCGGUGUAGCGGUGAAAUGCGCAGAUAUCGGGAGGAACACCAAUGGCGAAGGCAGCUCGCUGGGACGGUACUGACGCUGAGACGCGAAAGCGUGGGAGCAAACAGG
rnacentral:rRNA from 1 species